GCGUGCAAGCGAAAUAGCAAAGGGCGACCCAUUCAUUGAUUGUCACGCACGAGAGCAAAGUAUUCAUAUUUGUUGGUGUUGUUCUAGUUGUAUCUGUGCGUGAGUGUGUGGGGGGCCAUAGCUGACAAACAUAAACAGCAUAUGUAUGUGUGUGUGUGUAGACACAUGUGUCUAAGCACAACGUAGUUCAGCAACAACUUUUGGAUGACAAAUGCGUUUAGAAUUUCCCUGGAAAUUCGAAUACAAAUAAAAAGCUAUAAUUAAUUGUAAAUAAAUCUAGAUGAUUUGAAGCGCAAACCAAUGCGAAAUGAUAACGGCUUCUAGACUACUCGCUUAUCAAAUCGAACAAAUUUUUGUUGCACAUGCCUAUAAAUAAACACAGUAAAAAU